CGACAACACAGGUCUAGUAGCUGGAAGCAGGAACACACUCCAAGACCCCCCACCCCGGCGCCUCUCCCCCGCGGGGCCCCCUCCGUCCCCGGCUGCCCACUCCGCAGGGAGGCCUGGGGGGGCCCCACGCUCAGAGCCGGCUGUCCUUCCCCGUCCCCGCGCAGACACAGCCCUCCCGGCAGGGCCCGGGCUUGGAGGACUGAGCGCCCUGGUGACCUGGCCAGGUGGGGGCUGGACCCCGCUGGCCUAGGGGGACCAGGUCCUGCAGGCCUGAACCGCGGGCCCCUCCCUGUCAGGAGCCAGCCCCCUCGCCCCUCUGGGCUGCUUGCCUAGCGGUGCCCACUGCCUUCCUGUCUCCCGGGGGAAGGCACGAGGGCAGCACAGGGGCCUCCCCCACCAAGAGAGGGCAACACCACAUAGUUUGUUCGGGGGUGGGGCAGCUGAGGAGUGCACCUGCCAGGGGUCUGCCUCCCACACCAAGAGAUGAUUUCCCCCUCUUGGGAAGGCAGGAGGCCUCCCCCUGUCCUAUUUGGGAGUGUGGCACGGAGGACUGAAAGCAGGUGGUGCCCUCCCUAAGCUGGGGGACGGCGGUAGACCUCCGGAGCCCCCACUCAUGCACCCCCACUUGGUGGCUGCCCUCUGUGCCAGACGGGGCGCAGGUGUGGGGGACACAGGAAAUAUUUCAUGCUUUACAUAAAGCCUGGUAUUCGGUGUUCAUUAUUCUGUGACUCUGCCUCUUUUCCAGUAGGAGGUGAGUAUGGUGAUAAAAUUGGGGUUUUCUUCUUUCCCUUUUUUUUUUUUUUUUGGCGGGAGGAGUCUUGCCCCAAGGGGCAGUGUGUGUCCUACAGACUUAUCUGUGGCGAGGUCUUUUGGAGGCAAGGCUGCAGCAGAGAAGUUCUGUCUGUAUCUUGAAAAAAAAUUUUUUUUUAAAUUAUCAGUAGAAGGGGGACACCUGGGUGGCUCAGCGGUUGAGCCUCUGCCUUUGGCUCAGGGCGUGACCCCAGGGUCCCGGGAUCGAGUCCCGCGUUGGGCUCCCUGCUUCUCCCUCAGCCUGUGUCUCUGCCCCUCUCUGUGUGUCUCUCAUGAACGAAUAAAUAAAAUACUAAAAAAAUCAUCAGUAGAAGGAAACGAUCUGGGAUUCGUCUGGAAACUGCAGAUCCCCAAGAAGACGUUUGGUGAACACCGGCUUCUGUCACAGGCUCUCAACAAAAUACACGAGCUUCUUUCAUCUGCAGACAUUCGGCAGCUUUGUUCCUGUGAACAAUCCCAGUGAUGUCAUGGGCCCUGCCGGAGGACCCAAAUCAAAUCGGUUCUGGUGCCGGUACAGGCUCCCAUAAAGCUGUCCCGAGGUGAUGAUGCAGCCUGGCUCUGGGGCCGGGGCCUUCAGGUGGGGCUCCCUGCAUGUUUCUGGGGUCACAUUUCAAAACUGAAGUCCACCCGGAGGAGGGCGGGGCUUAGCAAAGAAUCACACAGGUCAGGGACCAGCAGAAAACGGGUUCUGGUGGCACCAAGGCUGGUCCCCUGCAGCAGCGGUCCCCGGGGCCAGAGCGGGGGCAGUGUCUGGGGCUGAGGUCAUAGAACCCAGGGUAGAAGUACCGGAUGAGUGGCCACGGAAGGGGGCCCGGAGGGAGCCCGAGGCGGCCUCCCCCACGCGCCCUCAUGCCUGGCUGAAACCUAAUCCUCAUUCUUGGGCCUGCCUGUCACGGCCUCAGCCCUGGCUUCCCAUCCGGCUGCGGCACUCAAGCUGUUCCCACUCUUCUCUUUUCCUCCAAAGGAAGGACCUUUGCCGAUGAAGUCAUGGGAAUAAAAGCUCCCUUUGCCCCGGAAAACAGUGGGAGCCUGAAGUCAACUUGUUGUGUGGCCUCUCAACGUCCAGGCAGGCGACCUUCGCUGCUUCCUGGAACCUUCCGAACACAUGACAUCAUCUAAUUCUCAAAUCGUGUGAUUAUCCCCAUUGCACAGAUGAGGAAACUGAGCCUGAGAUCUUGGGACUGGCCCAGGUCACGCAUCCGGCCUUUGCAACUCGGAGUCAGCAGGCUCACGGGGUGAACAACGUUUACUCGUUCCUGCCGCGGGUCAGGGGGUGAGCCCCGCGCAUCCCGGACAGGUCCGUGGGCAACUUCAGAUCUGACAGGGGAAGAGCCUGCCCUGAAAAGCUCUGGGGCUGACUCAGCUUUGGGGAAGUCCUCCUGGCUCCUGGGGGGCUUAUUCCAAACAGGAAAUGACGUCCUCCGUGAAGAUUCUCAGGGAAGCUCCCACUUCCUUCUUCAAUUAAUCAGCGUCGUGCUUGGCCGCCUCCCUGGGGUCCCAGGAGCAAUCGGCCGUGCACGCAGCCACGGUAGCCACACCUCAGGCUGAGUGGCACCGGGGACCAAAGAUGAAUGACAAGGCCCCGGAGGAGUGGCCGUCCUUACCUUGUAUGUGGCUGUGACCACCCCUCCCUCAGUCACAGAUAGAGUCUUGGUCAAAACGCCUACUUCCCGCUCAGCCAACUGGUCGACCAACCAGCUAGAGCCGGGGAAUGAACUGACUACGGUGAACUGUCGCCUGACCAGCUCGUUAAUGACAGAUACUUACCCGGGACUGUCAACUGCUUGCUUCCAGCGGUCACCGUCCCUGCCUAGUACAGGGAAGAUGCUCAAUAAGAAAAGGGUCUCGUGGGACGCCUGGGUGGCUCAGCGGUUGGGCGUGUGCCUUUGGCUCAGGGUGUGGUCCCAGUCCGGGGAUCGAGUCCCUUCGGGGAGCCUGCUUCUGCCUCUGUCUCUGCCUCUCUGCGUCUCUCAUGAAUAAAUAAAUAAAAUUAAAAAAAAAAAAAAGAAAAGAAAGAAAAGGGUCUCGUCUGGGAGGUACUAGGAAACCCAAGUCCAACGGGAAUGGCUCAAAGCAUCCUUGUGCCUGGCUCAUCUGGGAGGCAGAGGGAGCGGAGCCUGAGCUGACUGCCUUGGGCCUGGCUCCUGAGGGCCCUGCGUGCCACUCUUCGCCCACCGAGCUCUGAGGUCUGCUGGGGGUGUCAGUUUACCCGACCAUUGUGAGAAAGACAGCAUCCGCCCGCCAGGCAGACGUGAGCUCUUUGGGGCUGGGCGGGUGGUCUCACCCCUGUGGGCCUGAGAGUUCGGUGGACUUUUGCACACGUUCCAAGGUUAUACGUUUUCCUUUCUAGACUCCCACACUAGCUCCCAAACCAGGGGGCUUUGAUAAGGGAAGAGGGUGGCUUGGCUCGCUCCACAGACAUUCCCUGUGCAAAUGUCCACGAGUAUCUGUCUUCUGUGAGAAUUCCCUGAGUGUCCAGUUAGUGUGGUAGAAAUCUUCCAUUUGCCCGUCCUGGUGCCCUGGCCACCCUUCACCUGCUCCCUGCCAAUGGCCUGCUCUCUCCCUCUGAUUCUGGUUGGGUCUGGCCAGCGGGAGCCACCAGCAGGGGACUGGGGGGCAGGAAAGAGUGAGGUUGGGGCAUCUGCUCUGCUACAUCGUCCCCAC
rnacentral:lncRNA from 1 species